rnacentral:rRNA from 1 species
UACGAAGGGGGCUAGCGUUGCUCGGAAUGACUGGGCGUAAAGGGCUCGUAGGCGGCCAACUAAGUCAGACGUGAAAUCCCUCGGCUUAACCGGGGAACUGCAUCUGAUACUGGAUGGCUUGAGUUCGGGAGAGGGAUGCGGAAUUCCAGGUGUAGCGGUGAAAUGCGUAGAUAUCUGGAAGAACACCAAUGGCGAAGGCAGCUCUCUGGGACGGUACUGACACUGAGACGCGAAAGCGUGGGGAGCGAACAGG